AUGAACCUACUCAAAGCAUACAACAAAAGUCCCUUACUGACCAUAAGUUACAGGAACUUACAGGAACAUAACACGGCUAAUUCGCUCUUUCUGAACCUUCUCUACAACGCCGAUGACGACGACCACGAAGUGCCCAUGGAGGUCAGGUUCAGUUUCAGCCUUGUCGACCAGGUGGAGAAGCAGAUGCCCAUGUACAUUCGUGCCACCGGUGAAACCCGCAGCUUUUCCAGCACCACUUCAAUCUGGGGCAACGACAGGUUUAUGAGAAGAGACGCCCUUGAACACUCGGCGGAUCUCAAGUGCGAUUGUCUCACCAUCUGCUGCGACGUCGUGGUCGUCCGCAACAGCAGGGUUGAUGAUGGCACCAAGGCGCUCCUGCCGGACAUACACCAGCAUUUCAACAGUCUCCUUCAAAAUAAGGUGGGUGCCGAUGUGGCAUUCCAGGUUGGCGGCGAGACCUUUGCCGCACACCGGUGUGUGCUUGCUGCCCGAUCCACGGUGUUCAUGGCACAACUCUUUGGCCCCAUGAAGGAGGCGUCCAACGGUGUCAUACAGAUCAAAGACAUGGAACCAAAGGUGUUCACGGCUUAGCUUAGCUUUGUCUACACAGACUCGUUCCCUGCACAAGAAGAUGAAAUGUCCGAAGUUGUGGUCCAAGGACAAGAUGGGGAAGCGGCAGAGGAUGAAAUGGGGCUGCUGCAAUGGUUGCAAGGCUUGUUUGUAGUGGCAGACCGGUACCAUCUCCAGCGGCUCAAGUUCAUCUGUGUACAACAGCUGUCUCAGCGCAUAGAUGUGAGCUCUGUGGCGUCCACUCUUGCUCUAGCCGAGUAGCACCACUGUCGUGGAUUGAAGGAGGCGCACUUGAAGUUUACCCAAGUCCAAUCUCCCACGUGUUUGAAGACACUAAUGGCGAGUAAUGGCUGGGGGCAUAUUGUCACGACCUAUCCCUUUGUUUUGAAUGAGCUCAUUGCCAUGCUUGCUUCGAACCAGAGGAAGUAA
rnacentral:rRNA from 1 species